CUGUAAGCCCCUCGGUGCUCA
rnacentral:misc_RNA from 1 species